rnacentral:rRNA from 1 species
UACGUAGGGGGCAAGCGUUGUCCGGAAUCAUUGGGCGUAAAGCGCGUGUAGGCGGCUUCGUCAGUCCGUUGUGAAAGUCCAGGGCUCAACCCUGGAAUGCCGAUGGAUACUGCGGAGCUAGAGUCCGGAAGAGGCGAGUGGAAUUCCUGGUGUAGCGGUGAAAUGCGCAGAUAUCAGGAGGAACACCAAUGGCGAAGGCAGCUCGCUGGGACGUGACUGACGCUGAGACGCGAAAGCGUGGGGAGCAAACAGG